rnacentral:rRNA from 1 species
GACGAACGCUGGCGGCGUGCUUAACACAUGCAAGUCGAACGAAGUGGCGAACGGGUGAGUAACGCGUAAUCAACCUGCCCUUCAGAGGGGGACAACAGUUGGAAACGACUGCUAAUACCGCAUACUGAAGGAGGGGAUUGCGUCGGAUUAGCUAGUUGGGGGGGUAACGGCCCACCAAGGCGAUGAUCAGUAGCCGGUCUGGGAGGAAGAACCGCCACAAUGGGACUGAGACACGGCCCAGACUCCUACGGGAGGCCGGAGUUGGGAAUCUUCCGCCAUGGACGAAAGUCUGACGGCGCCACGCCGCGGGAGUGAUGACAGCCUUCGGGUUGUAAAGCUCUGUUAAUCGGGACGCGGUACCUGAAUAGAAAGCCACGGCUAACUACGUGCCAGCAGCCGCGGUAAUAC